rnacentral:misc_RNA from 1 species
CGGGAACUUUCGCCGGCGCCGGCGAGGCUAAAGGUCCCGUUUUCUUCACAUAGAUUCCGGCGUUUGUUGUAGUGGAAGUGUUCCUGGAAUUCAUCUAUUACUGUAUGUAGACAUCGUUGUGCGCUUUAGAUAAUUGAUUAUUGAAUUUUGUGAUUGGAAGCACAAGUUGAGCUUAUGGAGAAGGAUUUGAGUGACAAUAGACAUUGUAGGAGAAGGAACGAUGAGGAUGUGAAGAAAGUUGAGCGGCAACGAUAUAGGGAUAGAAGCAG